rnacentral:rRNA from 1 species
AUACGUAGGUGACAAGCGUUAUCCGGAUUUACUGGGCGUAAAGGGCGUGUAGGCGGUCUUGCAAGUCAGAAGUGAAAUUCCUGAGCUCAACUCGGGCGCUGCUUCUGAAACUGCAGGACUUGAGUGCUGGAGGGGAUAGCGGAAUUCCUAGUGGAGCGGUAAAAUGCGCAGAUAUUAGGAAGAACACCGGUGGCGAAGGCGGCUAUCUGGACAAUAACUGACGCUGAGGCGCGAAAGCGUGGGGAGCAAACAGGAUUAGAUAACCUGGUAGUCCACACUGUAAACGAUGAAUGCUAGGUGUAGGGGGUAUCGACCCCUUCUGUGCCGCAGUCAACACAAUAAGCAUUACGGCUGGGGAGUACGGCCGCAAGGUUGAAGCUCAAAUGAAUUGACGGGG